UGCGCAUGCCGCGUGUCAAGUAGAACGUUUGGUUGGCGUCUGUGUCGCAUCUGUGUUGCAUCUGUGAAGUGAGAGAUGCUACCUCCAUUAUUAUAUCUGCUUUGGAACAAUUGCUACACAGAUUGCAAGAACAUCCAUAUCCUUGGAUUUUGUGCCCUUCCAGUGAAAGCCAGUGUUUGAGAAGGUUCAGUUAUGGAUCUUAUGGUUGCUCACACUCAAGAAGACAUCAACCAGGUUUGCCAAUAACUCUAUAUUCCUCAUUUUUAUUGAUUUGGAAAUGAAAACUUCCCUUUAUAAAGCAUUGAAGGCAAUUCCUGUCACCAGGUUACGGCCCCAGAUUUGUUUUUUCAUUAAAGCAAAGAAACAAAAAGAUUCCCUUGUAUCUGAACACAGUCACCUUUGGAAUAAUUUACUUAAGAUAGCUUCCA